AAUGAAACUCCAGGAAGAGUUUAGACAAGCUGAAUGUAACUACUCAAAUUGGAAUUUGGCCAAUGCACCGCAGACUUGGAUCAAGAGGAGGAAGAAGAUUUUAUUGAUGCUCCCCCAACACAUGGGCUGUGUUCACCAACGUCUGUCCUGCAGGGAGAUGGUAGAGAUGCAGCUCCUUUCUGAGUAGAGCGGAAGAGCUGGCAAGCUUAGACACUACCAGUGCUUUGUGGAAGCAGACAUAUGAAUUUGUU